rnacentral:rRNA from 1 species
GCAAGUCGAACGGCAGCAUGCACUUCGGUGUGAUGGCGAGUGGCGCACGGGUGAGUAACGCGUACAAAAUCUACCUUCAACUGGGGGAAAGUCGCUGGAAACGGCGAAUAAUCCCGCAUAAGACUACAGUGUCGCAUGGCACAGGAGUAAAAGGAGCAAUCCGGUAGAAGAUGAUUGUGCGUCCCAUUAGCUAGAUGGUAAGGUAACGGCUUACCAUGGCGACGAUGGGUAGGGGGCGUGAGAGCGUGGAC